rnacentral:rRNA from 1 species
CGGUUGAUCCUGCCGGAGGCCACCGCUAUUAGAGUUCGAUUAAGCCAUGCGAGUCGAGAGGGUUCGGCCCUCGGCAGACCGCUCAGUAACACGUGGACAAUCUGCCCUUAGGAGGAGGAUAAGCUCGGGAAACUGAGUAUAAUACUCCAUAGGUAUUGGAUGCUGGAAUGCUCCAAUACUCAAAGCUCCGGCGCCUAAGGAUGAGUCUGCGGCCUAUCAGGUUGUAGUGAGUGUAAUGAACUCACUAGCCGACGACGGGUACGGGUCGUGAGAGCGAUAGCCCGGAGAUGGAAUCUGAGACACGAUUCCAGGCCCUACGGGGCGCAGCAGGCGCGAAAACUUCACAAUGCGGGAAACCGCGAUGAGGGAACUCUAAGUGCCUAUGCACAGCAUAGGCUGUUCAGAUGCCUAAAAAGCAUUUGGAGUAAGGGCUGGGCAAGUCUGGUGCCAGCCGCCGCGGUAAUACCAGCAGCUCGAGUGGUGGUCGUUUUUAUUGGGCCUAAAGCGUCCGUAGCCGGUUCGGUAAAUCUUUGGGUAAAUCGAUGGGCUUAACUCAUCGACUUCCGGAGAGACCGCCGAACUUGGAACCGGGAGAGGUCGGAGGUACUUUAGGGGUAGGGGGUGAAAUCCUGUAAUCCUUAGAGGACCACCAGUGGCGAANGCGUCCGACUAGAACGGGUUCGACGGUCAGGGACGAAGCCGUGGGUCGCAAACCGGGUUAGAUACCCGGGUAGUCCACGGUGUAAACGCUGCAGGCUUGGNGUU